GCGGCCUCGGCAUCCGCCGCGCUCACCUUCGGCUGUUUCCGCGUACCGCGCGCAGCCGUUGUCUGGGCAACGCGCGGCGGCGCGACGGCUCGGAUGGGAGACGGAGAGUUUGUUUUAAGGAGACGAAGUGCACUUGUUUCUGAACCACUGCCAUUAAUCGAUGUCUUUAGGUUUCAACCUUGACUAGGUCUGAGUUUCAUCAUGGCUCUCUAUUUUGACCACCGAAUAGAAGCCCCAGACUCCGUCGGGUCUCCUUCACACAUCCAUUGGCACCCUGUUCAUCCAUUCCUGGUGGUUGCCUCCAUCAGCACGACCUCAGGAGGCAGCGUGGAUAUAUAUCUGGAACAAGGUGAGCAUGUGCCCGAUACCCAUAUGGAGAGGUCGUUCCGGGUCACUUCCCUGUGCUGGCACCCAGCGCGCCUGAUCCUAGCUAUUGGCUGGGAGACUGGAGAAGUGACAGUGUUUAAUAAGCAGGACAAGGAGCAGCAUUCGAUCCCCCCGACACACACCACCGACGUCACGGUCCUCAAGUGGAGCCCCAAAGGGAACUGCCUUGUGUCAGGGGACAGGCUUGGUGUCCUGCUCUUGUGGAGGUUGGACCAAAGGGGUCGAGUACAAGGGACGCCCCUGCUGAAACACGAUCACGGAAAAACCCUAACUUACUGCAUCUUCCGGCUCCCCCCUCCU